AAGAAAGUAAAUAAGGGCGCAUGGAGGAUGCCUUGGGUCUUAGAGGCGAUGAAGGACGUGAUAAGCUGCGAUAAGCUUGGGGGAUUGGCAAAUACAAUUUGAUCCCAAGAUUUCCGAAUGGGGCAACCCGGCUGGCUGAAGGCCAGUCAAUCCGCAAGGAUUGCAAACGCUGUGAACUGAAACAUCUAAGUAACAGCAGGAGAAGAAAAUAAUUUAAUGAUUACGCAAGUAGUGGCGAGCGAACGCGUAAGAGCCCAAACCAGAGUAAUUACGGUUACUUUGGGGUUGUAGGACUACAAUGUGGACUUAAGUUGUAUAGUAGAACAGGUUUGGAAAGGCCGACCAUAGCGGGUGAUAGUCCCGUAUACGACAUACAAUUUAUACCUAGUAGUAUCCUGAGUACUGCGGGGUCGGAGACGCCCUGUAGGAAUCUGCCAGCACCAUCUGGUAAGGCUAAAUACUCCUAAGACACCGAUAGUGAACUAGUACUGUGAAGGAAAGGUGAAAAGAACCGCGAACAGCGGAGUGAAAUAGAACCUGAAACCAUGCGCUUACAAGCGGUCGGAGCCCUAAGUGGGGUGACGGCGUGCCUUUUGCAUAAUGAGCCUACGAGUUGCUCUUUACUGGCAAGGUUAAGCCCUUUAGGGGCGUGAACCGAAGCGAAAGCGAGUCUGAAUAGGGCGACAUAGUCAGUAGAGGCAGACGCGAAACCUUGUGAUCUACCCAUGGUCAGGAUGAAGUGACAGUAACAUGUCAUGGAGGUCCGAACCGAUAAGCGUUGAAAAGCUUCCGGAUGACCUGUGGGUAGGGGUGAAAGGCUAAUCAAACUAGGAAAUAGCUCGUACUCCCCGAAAUGCCUUUAGGGGCAGCGUGGUGGUAAAGUUUUAUAGAGGUAGAGCUACUGAUUGGAUGCGGGGGAAGCGAUUCCUACCAAGUCCUGACAAACUCCGAAUGCUAUAAAAUAUACACUGCAGUGAGCCAUUGGGUGCUAAGGUCCAAUGACGAAAGAGAGAGAACUCAGACCAACAGCUAAGGUCCCUAAAUCUAUACUAAGUUGAUAUAACGUGGUCCGACUGCACUGACAGCCAGGAUGUUUGCUUGGAAGCAGCCAUUCAUUUAAAGAGUGCGUAACAGCUCACUGGUCGAGCGGUUGGGCGUGGAUGAUACUCGGGCAUCAAGUAUAGUACCGAAGCUAUGAAUUUAACACGUCAAGUGUUAUCUGGUAGGGGAGCAUUCUAAUCUGCGUUGAAGGAGUUGCGUGAGCACUACUGGAGCGGUUAGAAAAGCAAAUGUAGGCAUAAGUAACGAUAAAACAGGCGAGAAACCUGUUCGCCGAUAGACUAAGGUUUCCUGAACAACGAUAAUCGGUUCAGGGUUAGUCGGGACCUAAGGUGAAGCCGAAGGGCGUAAUCGAUGGACAACUGGUUAAUAUUCCAGUACUUGUACCACUGCGAUGGAGAGACGGAAAAACGUAAAUGCUGCGCACUGACAGAAUAGUGCGUUGAAGCCCGUAGGGUUACCUUUGGUUGGCAAAUCCGCCAGAGGUCUGAAAGGUGAUAGUACCCUGAGUCGUCAGACAAGGGGAUAAGCAUCCAAGUAUGUUCCCAAGAAAAUCUUCUAAGCUUCAGGUGAGUACAACCCGUACCGCAAACCGACACAGGUAGUCAAGUAGAAUAUACUAAGGCGCUCGAGUGAUCCGUGGCUAAGGAACUAGGCAAAUUAACCCCGUAACUUCGGGAUAAGGGGUGCCUCGCGCAAGCGAGGCCGCAGAGAAAUGGCGGUGGCGACUGUUUAACAAAAACACAGGGCUUUGCGAAAACGAAAGUUGAAGUAUAAGGCCUGACACCUGCCCGGUGCCGGAAGGUUAAGAGGAGAGGUUAGUCGCAAGCGAAGCUUUGAAUUGAAGCCCCGGUAAACGGCGGCCGUAACUAUAACGGUCCUAAGGUAGCGAAAUUCCUUGUCGGGUAAGUUCCGACCUGCACGAAUGGUGUAACGAUCUCCGCUCUGUCUCAGCCGCGAGCUCGGUGAAAUUGUGGUAUCAGUGAAGACGCUGAUUACCCGCAACGGGACGGAAAGACCCCAUGCACCUUUACUAUAGUUUAACAUUGAUUUCGGGUAAGUGAUGUGUAGGAUAGGUGGGAGGCUUUGAAGCAGUGGCGCCAGCCAUUGUGGAGCCAACGUUGAAAUACCACCCUUUACUUACUUGGAGUCUAACUCUGCAAAGAGGACAUUGUUUGAUGGGUAGUUUGACUGGGGUGGUCGCCUCCGAAAGGGUAUCGGAGGCUUUCAAAGGUUAGCUCAUUACGCUUGGUAACCGUAAUUUAGAGUGCAAUAGCAUAAGCUAGCUUGACUGUGAGGCCGACAAGCCAAGCAGGGUCGAAAGCAGGAUAUAGUGAUCCGGUGGUUCCGCAUGGAAGGGCCAUCGCUCAUAGGAUAAAAGGUACGCUGGGGAUAACAGGCUGAUCCCUCCCAAGAGCUCACAUCGACGGGGGGGUUUGGCACCUCGAUGUCGGCUCGUCACAUCCUGGGGCUGGAGAAGGUCCCAAGGGUUCGGCUGUUCGCCGAUUAAAGUGGCACGCGAGCUGGGUUCAGAACGUCGUGAGACAGUUCGGUCCCUAUCUGUUGUGGGCGUUAGAAAAUUGAGGGGCGCUGACUCUAGUACGAGAGGACCGAGUCGGACGAACCGCUGGUAUACCUGUUGUGGAGCUAAUCUGCACCGCAGGGUAGCCAUGUUCGGAUGAGAUAAGCGCUGAAAGCAUCUAAGUGCGAAACUCACCUCAAGAUAAGUUUUCUUUACAAGGAUCCUGGAAGAUGACCAGGUUGAUAGGCUAUAGAUGUACAGUCAGUAAUGGCAAAGUCAAGUAGUACUAAUUAUCCGUAAGCUUUCUAUU
rnacentral:rRNA from 1 species